rnacentral:rRNA from 1 species
GACGAACGCUGGCGGCGUGCUUAACACAUGCAAGUCGAACGGAAAGGCCCUGCUUGCAGGGUACUCGAGUGGCGAACGGGUGAGUAACACGUGGGUGAUCUGCCCUGCACUUCGGGAUAAGCCUGGGAAACUGGGUCUAAUACCGGAUAGGAGCCAUUUUUAUUGUGAUGGUUGGAAAGUUUUUUCGGUGUAGGAUGAGCUCGCGGCCUAUCAGCUUGUUGGUGGGGUAAUGGCCUACCAAGGCGGCGACGGGUAGCCGGCCUGAGAGGGUGGACGGCCACAUUGGGACUGAGAUACGGCCCAGACUCCUACGGGAGGCAGCAGUGGGGAAUAUUGCACAAUGGGCGCAAGCCUGAUGCAGCGACGCCGCGUGGGGGAUGACGGCCUUCGGGUUGUAAACUCAUUUCGCUAGGGACGAAGCUUUUUGUGACGGUACCUAGAUAAGAAGCACCGGCUAACUACGUG